AGCUCUGAAGUGUACAGACUAAACCUGGAACAAGGAAGGUACCUGAAUUCCCUACAGACCGAUGCUUCGGAGAAUCAUGUAUGUGAUAUAAAUUCUGCUCAUGGCUUAUUUGCAACUGGGACAAUUGAGGGAAAGGUGGAAUGCUGGGAUCCUAGAACACGAAAUCGAGUUGGAGUGUUGGAUUGCGCUUUAAGCAGCACAA